rnacentral:rRNA from 1 species
GAGUUUGAUCAUGGCUCAGGACGAACGCUGGCGGCGUGCCUAAUACAUGCAAGUCGAGCGAAUCACCGGGAGCUUGCUCUCGGCGAUUAGCGGCGGACGGGUGAGUAACACGUGGGCAACCUGCCUGUAAGACUGGGAUAACUUCGGGAAACCGGAGCUAAUACCGGAUCAAUCUUUUCCUCGCAUGAGGAAAAGACUAAAAGAACGGUUUCGGCUGUCACUUACAGAU